GUGUUCCAUCACUGAGUUAAAGUAAGUAGUUAACAUGUGCAUCAAUUAAUAAGUUAAGUUAGUUGGGUUAACUAUCAAGAAAACUGAGGCCUACUACCUAGCCCCAAACCCAUUAUACAGGAACCCCAAUGAAGUACCAAGUACCAACACCCACAGAACUCACCGGAGAACUACCCUUUCAGCGCGACCAAUCUUCCUAGGGCCAGGUCCAGGGCUGGCAUAGCAAUUGAUAGAAAGAAAAAAAGCGUCCGCAAUUUCACAACAAGCAUGCAUGUCUUCUUAAAUAAACCAUCUCAGGCUCAAACUCAGUCAACUAACAGACCUACUGAAACCAAGUGUAUAUCCAGCGACGGUGAUUUUCAGAGGGGAUGGUGGCCAGAGUUCAUGGCCUCAAUCUCUUUUAGCCGUGAGCAUAGACCAUCAUAGGAGGAGGUUGACUCAAAGACCCCAGAGAUAGUCACCACACAGAUUCGAGGACGACUCCACAAACCUAGGAAGGACUGUAGCCACCGCAACAAAACUGAAGAUCGCAACAAGGCUAGCGUCUAUUGAAGCAAGAGCAAGGUAGAUCUAAAGAACACCCUCACUAAGAAUUGCUGGAUUUGCCACUAAAAUCGCACAAAAUUUAUUCACAACCUUGCCAGAUGAAAGGGAAGAACUCACUUCCGGAACAAGGGAGAAAGUCCUCCCCUGCCCGAAUGGGGCAAGGGAGGCCAAUAGACGACAAAAAUAAAGGAUAAUUAGAGUAUAUUUAACAUUAUUGUUCAAGCUAUUAUGAAAACAGC
rnacentral:misc_RNA from 1 species